rnacentral:rRNA from 1 species
UACGGAGGAUCCGAGCGUUAUCCGGAUUUAUUGGGUCUAAAGGGUGCGCAGGCGGAAGAUUAAGUCGGUGGUGAAAUUUUGCAGCUCAACUGUAAAAGUGCCAUUGAUACUGGUUUUCUUGAGUGUGGAUGAAGUAGGCGGAAUUUGUGGUGUAGCGGUGAAAUGCAUAGAUAUCACGAGGAACUCCGAUUGCGCAGGCAGCUUACUAAACCAUAACUGACGCUCAGGCACGAAGGCGUGGGGAGUCAAACAGGAUUAGA